rnacentral:rRNA from 1 species
CGAUGGGGGUGACCUGCGGAAGGAUCAUUACCGAGUGAGGGCCCUCUGGGUCCAACCUCCCACCCGUGUUUAUUUUACCUUGUUGCUUCGGCGGGCCCGCCUUAACUGGCCGCCGGGGGGCUUACGCCCCCGGGCCCGCGCCCGCCGAAGACACCCUCGAACUCUGUCUGAAGAUUGUAGUCUGAGUGAAAAUAUAAAUUAUUUAAAACUUUCAACAACGGAUCUCUUGGUUCCGGCAUCGAUGAAGAACGCAGCGAAAUGCGAUACGUAAUGUGAAUUGCAAAUUCAGUGAAUCAUCGAGUCUUUGAACGCACAUUGCGCCCCCUGGUAUUCCGGGGGGCAUGCCUGUCCGAGCGUCAUUUCUGCCCUCAAGCACGGCUUGUGUGUUGGGCCCCGUCCUCCGAUCCCGGGGGACGGGCCCGAAAGGCAGCGGCGGCACCGCGUCCGGUCCUCGAGCGUAUGGGGCUUUGUCACCCGCUCUGUAGGCCCGGCCGGCGCUUGCCGAUCAACCCAAAUUUUUAUCCAGGUGACCUCGG